GUAAUUUAAAUGAACAUUAAAACUAGAUAAUUGUAUGUUGUUUACCAUGGUCAUGGUCAUGGAAAAAAGAAUCAGUGAUGCUAUGAAUAGAUAUGAUUCCGAUUAGUAUGUUUAGUAAUACAUCUUAUAUUGGCAAAUUCCUGUUAAGAGUGUAGUUGUCGGAUAUAAGAGAUAUAAGAUAUUAAUAUACCAUGUUACCAAAACUUCUUUUGAUGAAAAAAAAAUAUAUGUAAGUUACACAACGUGAUUUGUGAUUGCGUGCCUAUUUAUUGGCUGCCGUGAAUUAACUGACGAUGAGGAAGUUCUUUCCUUAAGUAAAUCUUGAUUUGAUAAAGAUGAUAAUUAAUUCUUUGUUUUAGUAUUGGAAAAUCCAAUGUUAUUGUCCCAAAGAUGUGAUUAUUUAUAGCAAAUCAGAAAAGAAAACUUUGAAAAGUAUCUUAAUGUUCAACUAACGACAUAACAAUAUUGUGCAAGUUUGAUUUGCCAGAAUACGAUAUACUAUAUUGAUACCAUUUUUGCAUCACUGACAUUUAAAACGAUGUUUUAUUUGUUUUUUUGGGGGGUGUUGUGCGGUGUACGUUCUGAUUUUGUGUAAUUCUUUGAUACCUCACAUCGUUUCCUUUAUAUUAUGUACUUUUUUUUCUAAAUAUCUUGUGAAAUUUGUCCAAUUAAAGCUCAUUUUAUAUCGCAUUACAAUCCCUUAUCAGUUAUCGUAAAGACAGCUAGAACAGAAUAAAGGAAAAGAAAAACACGAGAAUAAAACGGAGACAUUUACUAAAUUGUACAUCAAUUCCAACUGAAUGAUUUCUCUUCUUUGUUUUAAUUUAUCUUGUGCAAGCACCCGUCUCACUUAGAAAAAAACCCAAUUCUAGUCAAUUAAGAUUGCAGUCGUGUCAACCUUUCCUAUGCUGGAUUCGAGCUCACAACCUCAGUGUUGACAGGCAAAGACAUAGUUGUUCUACUACUUAGACCUCUCGACCACCGAAGCCAUAAUAUGUACAAAAGGCGUGUUUUUUUUCCCUUUAAAAAUGUCCUGUACCAAGUCAGGAAUAUGGCCAUUGUUAUAUUAUUGUUCGUUUCUGUGUGUGUUACAUUUUAACGUUGCGUCGUUUGUUUUCUCUUAUUUUUGAGUGUAAUUUCA
rnacentral:lncRNA from 1 species